AGUCUGUUUUGUACGAGGUGUUGAUGAAGACGCUGCAGACGGAGCUGAGUGUGUGACAGAGCUGCUGUGACGGUGGUCGUGGUCAGCGCAGGGUAUCAGUCCUCAUAUGAGAAGGGUCUGGAGAUCACCGGUGUCAGAGAUGGGCAUUCAGGUGUUUCACGCUGGCACUGUGCUGAAGGAAGGGGCGGGGUUAUGACGAGCGGUGGGCGUGUCCUGAGAGUGACUGCGGUCCGGCCCACCCUCGAGAGUGCCUUACGUAGCGCUAAUGAAGGAGUGAGCUGCAGCAGGGGACUGUCGUAUAAGGACAGCGGUGUGGACAUCGCAGCGGGGAACAGACUCGUGGAUCUGAUCAAACCUCUGGCCACGGCUCGUCCAGGUCUGUCCAUCUCUCAUCACGCUGAUGCUCCACUUUUCUUUUAUUCACUUUUAUAACCGUUGUCUUUUUUUCUCAUGUGCUGAUGACUGAUAGCCGAUUAAUCUUCCUGUUGACUGCAAGAAAACGGUAAACUUUGUGAGGUUCUUUGAUGCAGUUUUUUCUCACAGGAGUUCAAAGCUUGAUCUGGUUUUUCAGUGUCAAUCAUCUUUCUGUCGAUUAGCUUUCACUCAAACUGCAGACUCACAGAACAAAGCUCUUUUAAACCUGUUUAUGGCAGGAGAGGGGAGUUUAGUGGGUCUUUAACACUUCUGUCGUCUCACACAUUUCACAUGUUAUUUCACGCUUAUCAAGUCUCUGAUUUGAGUGACACAUGAAUAUUGUUUGUUUUUUUACUAAACGAGUCCUAAAAAUGAAAUGGAUUAUUUCUAAAAGCAGAACACACCAUGAGACAGAAAAAGAAACCAUGCAAAAUAAAUAGCAGAAUAAAAUAAAAAGAUCGUAUUGAUGCAAAAAUGGAGUGAUUUGUGCUUCUGGAAGUGUUUUUUUCUUUCUUUCCUUUUUUCUUCUUUUUUCUUCUAUCUAUUUGAGUGAUAGAUACAGUAUAACUGUUUUGUGUGUUUAUUUAUGUGCUGUAUUUUUAUCAUGUUGAUAAUAUUUA